UGUGAAAGCAUAACGUAUUCAAUUUAUCUAGGAUACAUGUAGUAACUUCCUGAUUUGUCUAACUAAGUAGACAGACCUAAAGAUUUCUCAGUGUUUGUAUAUUUUGCACACUUUGAGUAAUGAUCUCAAAAUUGAAUAAGAAGGACAUAUUAAUCAAAAACUACAAGUAUAUGGUCAUUCCAGUGAUUGAUAACCAGGGUGUAUCAUUAUGAAAAACCGAUUAUGUCAACUUAUGAACCAGAAACUACGAUAAAACUAGACUCAACCUUAAAACCUGAUGAUUUCGGGCCUAAACAAGACGAAAACAACGAUACACAGUUUGCAAUUUCAUCGGUCAUCUGUGUAUCCAUUUUCAUAUUGGUGGGAGUAGUUCUUGUAAAAUUUUGUUACUUACGGAGACUGUCUGCUAAAAACUUUCAAAAUGCUCGGCGAAUACGGACUAUAUCUGAAACCCUCCGAGACAGACCACCACAGUAUAAUGACAUCCCAUGCAGAGUAGCAAUAUCUCCAGAUGGAUCUAUAGAAAUAGCAGUUCCAGAAAGCCCACCCUAUGUAAAAGAUCCCCCACCAUACACGGAAUAGGGUUUGGGUAUUGAUAAAUUGAAAAACUAUAAAAGGAGUUAGUAUGUGGACUUACAUGAAAACAUAGGACCAUACUAAACAACAUCAAUGCAUUUUGAUGUGUGCCAGGUCCUGUAUUAUAUGUAUUACAAGUUAAUACUAAAUGUACAUUUGAUAAAAUAGAAUUCUUCUAAAGAUAUUAAUCAAAAUGUUAUCUUAUAAAGUAUUAUAUAUGUGAUAUAUGAAAAAUAUCUUGCCAUUGAUAUUGUUUGCACGACUAGAGACAAUAUUUUUGUUUUAUGACAUUUCGAUAGUCUAGUUCAUUUAAAUGUUUCGGAGUUUAGUGUGACGUCCAUUUUCACUGAACUAGUACAUAUUUUUGUUUAGGGGCCAGCCGAAGCCCGCCUCCGGGUGCGGUAUUUUCUCGCUGUGUUGAAGACCCAUUGGUGGCCUUGGGCUGUUUUCUGCUCUUUGGUCGGGUUGUUGUCUCUUUGACACAUUCCCCAUUUUCAUUCUCAAUUUUAUUCUUUACUUUCACUUUGAACUUUUCUGAGGAAUCGGGUAUAGAUAGUUGAUGGAUGUGUUUUACUGUACGGCAUUUUGGUCAAUUUCUGUUAUCUCUUUUGUUAUACCAGCGUAAAAUAUAUAGUAACCUUGACUUAUUCGUCAGUUUGGGUGUGUUUGAUGUAGAAGUACGAGAUUACUUCUGGCCUGAUUGGGAAAGUUAAAUCUAAUAUACUGUUAAUACCGGUAUCAAUGCGUGCAUUCAUUUUUGCAAUUGUUAAACAAAAGACCUUACUGCGGAAUUAAAUAUUACAAUUUCAGGAAGAGCUGUAACAAUUUAAAAUACUAUUUAAAAUGUAAGUAAUUAUUUUUGCAACGUUGUGAGGUAGUGUUACGCUCAUUGUAAAUUAUAUAUGGAUAAUGGAGAUUAUGUACUCGUAGCUUUAAUAAAAUGAACUAAUUGGAGAUCGCAUAUAUUUGGUUCCCAUAAAAAAAAGUAUGUAUACAUGUUAAAAUCAUCAUUAUAAUCCAGCGAAUCUUUUUAGUUUUACAUAUUUUAAACAUGUCUUAUAUAUAUUAAUUAUCGAUAUUCUAUCGUCCACGACUAAAAGGUUAGCAUUUAAUGUAUCAUCAAAUGUCAUAAACACCUUGAAAGGAUGCAUUAGAAAUUUCCGUUACAUUUUUUAUUUAUGCUGAAAUAGAUAAUUGUUUGAUCUUGAACACUUGGAAUCGUCGGCGAUUGAAAAGCAACUGUUUUUAUUGCAUUUCAAUAUUUUGAAGAUACGAAUGUUUUGAAACGCAUUUCUUUGCUUAUUUAUUAGUAUUGAUAUUUAUAAGUUUUCAUAUUAAGAAAAUUCUUUAAUUUGUAAUAAAACUAUUAUGGAAGAUUUAAACUAAAGGACAGAAUUACCGAGAUAAAAUAUUAGACAGGCGUAUAAGUGUAUAUAUAUGUUUUUUUAUUAAUUCUGAUAUAUUAUGUUUACAUUGUUGCUGUGUAUUAGUUAAUCAUGAAUAAAAUUUAGUUUUAAAGAG